CUAGUCUCGGCCUGUCGCUGCCAAUUCAGCGACCGGUUUUGACAGACCGCUGA
rfam:Pseudomonas putida KT2440 complete genome.